CUAUGGUUAAGGAACUCGGCAAAAUGCCCCCGUAACUUCGGGAGAAGGGGGGCCGGAAUACCGUGAACACCCUUGCGGUGGGAGCGGGAUUCGGCCGCAGAAACCAGUGGGUAGCGACUGUUUACUAAAAACACAGGUCCGUGCGAAGUCGCAAGACGAUGUAUACGGACUGACGCCUGCCCGGUGCUGGAAGGUUAAGAGGACCCGUUAACCCGUAAGGGUGAAGCGGAGAAUUUAAGCCCCAGUAAACGGCGGUGGUAACUAUAACCAUCCUAAGGUAGCGAAAUUCCUUGUCGGGUAAGUUCCGACCUGCACGAAUGGCGUAACGACUUCCCAACUGUCUCAACCAUAGACUCGGCGAAAUUGCACUACGAGUAAAGAUGCUCGUUACGCGCGGCAGGACGAAAAGACCCCGGGACCUUCACUACAACUUGGUAUUGGUGUUCGGUACGGUUUGUGUAGGAUAGGUGGGAGACUUUGAAGCACAGACGCCAGUUUGUGUGGAGUCGUUGUUGAAAUACCACUCUGAUCGUAUUGGACACCUAACGUCGAACCCUUAUCGGGUUCACGGACAGUGCCUGGCGGGUAGUUUAACUGGGGCGGUUGCCUCCUAAAAUGUAACGGAGGCGCCCAAAGGUUCCCUCAACCUGGACGGCAAUCAGGUGGCGAGUGUAAGUGCACAAGGGAGCUUGACUGCGAGACUUACAAGUCAAGCAGGGACGAAAGUCGGGACUAGUGAUCCGGCACCCCCGAGUGGAAGGGGUGUCGCUCAACGGAUAAAAGGUACCCCGGGGAUAACAGGCUGAUCUUCCCCAAGAGUCCAUAUCGACGGGAUGGUUUGGCACCUCGAUGUCGGCUCGUCGCAUCCUGGGGCUGGAGCAGGUCCCAAGGGUUGGGCUGUUCGCCCAUUAAAGCGGCACGCGAGCUGGGUUUAAAACGUCGUGAGACAGUUCGGUCUCUAUCCGCCGCGCGCGUCAGAAACUUGAGGAAACCUGUCCCUAGUAC
rnacentral:rRNA from 1 species